CUCCCGUGAGAGGGCCUUCGCGGUGGAACAAACACUCGCUUAGCAGCGGAAGACUCCGAGUUCUCGGUACUCUUCAGGGAUGAGUCAUGUGGCAGUGGAAAAUGCGCUCGGGCUGGACCAGCAGUUUGCUGGCCUAGACCUGAACUCUUCAGAUAAUCAGAGUGGAGGAAGUACAGCCAGCAGUUGGAGUGCAAUGGUGUGAUCUCGGCUCACCGCAGUCUCUGCCUCCGGGUUCAAGCGAUUCUCCUGCCUCAGCCUCCCGAAUAGCUGUGCCUUUCUGAUAAAACAUCAAUGACUAGCUGGCUCUCUUGAGUAAAAGCAGCUAAUCAUUGGAAAGAACCUUAUUAUAUCAAAUUAUCUCUAGAAGAGUUUUUGUCCAUUAUAAAUCCUGAGCCCAGUUUAGAGGUGAUGGGAAUGUGUCCCUGUUAACUGACUAUAUUUAUUAAAUUGAAUUAAGGGAAUAUGCAUUUCAUUGGUUAUAGCUACUCCUUUCUCCUGAAGAACAGAAGACUAUACUGAAUUUUGGAUUGGUGGUUAGGUUAGGUUUUCAAAUGUGUCAUUUCUUUUAAAAAGGCAUUAGAAAAGUUGCUUUUUUUCUUCUAAGGGGGGUUAUUUAGAGACUUGUUAGAGGUUAGUGUUAAGAUAGGGGAUCUUGGUGGUUUAUUAUAAGGGCAAUAGACCCUUAUUUUUAGCUCAGAUCUCUUCCUACUUAUUAAAACAAAAGAGUAUGGGCUAUGAUGUGUCCUCAUUUUUAGGCAAGAACAGCUUCACUGGGCACAAAAUUACUUGGUGGUUGCUUUAACUUUCACCUUAUUUGUCAUGCUAAGAAUCUUUUAGGAACUGAUUGUCCUAGUAGAGAUUUUUAAAAAUGUUUAAUUCAGUCUAGAAGUGAAAAAGAAAAAUGACACGUUUACUAGUUAUAAAGCAAAUUUGUUUGGGUUUAUGUUAUUUGCUUUUUUUGCUUAUCCAUAUUCGAGGCUGUACUCCUGCUCGCAUACAGAGC
rnacentral:sRNA from 1 species